GACUACAGGUACGGGGGUUUUGUGUUCUUUGUCGUCCUGCUAUGCGCCGUGAAAUUUAAUUAAGAUUCGGUUUUCCAUCUAUAUAUCGUGUAUAUACCAUGGAUGUGUGUACUGUUUGUGGCAUUAUUAUCAGGUCAUGUUUACAAGUAUAGUAGGUGUGGCAGCAGUUGACCUAUGGUUCCCGGAUAAAAA
rnacentral:precursor_RNA from 1 species